AGAACUUUCCAGAGAUGGAUUGGUGCCUUCGGGGAACUCUGAGACAGGUGCUGCAUGGCUGUCGUCAGCUCGUGUUGUGAAAUGUUGGGUUAAGUCCCGCAACGAGCGCAACCCUUAUCCUUUGUUGCCAGCGUUAGGCUGGGAACUCAAAGGAGACUGCCAGUGAUAAACUGGAGGAAGGUGGGGAUGACGUCAAGUCAUCAUGGCCCUUACGAGUAGGGCUACACACGUGCUACAAUGGCGCAUACAAAGAGAAGCGACCUCGCGAGAGCAAGCGGACCUCAUAAAGUGCGUCGUAGUCCGGAUUGGAGUCUGCAACUCGACUCCAUGAAGUCGGAAUCGCUAGUAAUCGUGGAUCAGAAUGCCACGGUGAAUACGUUCCCGGGCCUUGUACACACCGCCCGUCACACCAUGGGAGUGGGUUGCAAAAGAAGUAGGUAGCUUAACCUUCGGGAGGGCGCUUACCACUUUGUGAUUCAUGACUGGGGUGAAGUCGUAACAAGGUAGGCGUAGUGCU
rnacentral:rRNA from 1 species